rnacentral:rRNA from 1 species
GAUGAACGCUGGCGGCGUGCCUAAUACAUGCAAGUCGAGCGAACGGACGAGAAGCUUGCUUCUCUGAUGUUAGCGGCGGACGGGUGAGUAACACGUGGAUAACCUACCUAUAAGACUGGGAUAACUUCGGGAAACCGGAGCUAAUACCGGACAAUAUUUUGAACCGCAUGGUUCAAAAGUGAAAGACGGUCUUGCUGUCACUUAUAGAUGGAUCCGCGCUGCAUUAGCUAGUUGGUAAGGUAACGGCUUACCAAGGCAACGAUGCAUAGCCGACCUGAGAGGGGGAUCGGCCACACUGGGACUGGGACACGGUCCCGACUCCUACGGGAGGCAGCAGUAGGGAAUCUUCCGCAAUGGGCGAAAGCCUGACGGAGCAACGCCGCGUGAGUGAUGAAGGUCUUCGGAUCGUAAAACUCUGUUAUUAGGGAAGAACAUAUGUGUAAGUAACUGUGCACAUCUUGACGGUACCUAAUCAGAAAGCCACGGCUAACUACGUG